CACACAUACAUGCAAAAACCUACAUUGGUUUGAUCAUGAAGAUGAAUAUUUACCCCUCGCUAGAAGGGGAUGUCUUAUUCUGUUCAUCUGUUGAGUUGCGGUUGAUUGGAUGUGUCUUUUGAAUACAACUAAAAGCCAUAUUCAAAUAUAGUCAUAUUUGGUGUAAGUCUUUGUACCUGAUUAGAAGGGACGAGGUGCGGUGUAUUGGAAAUCAUUGAAACGGUUUGACUGGCUGCAAUUCAAGUCUGAACUCCAGCUGUUAGUAAGCACUGCCGUGGCGAUGCUGAUGGCAGCAUAACAUCCUACGUUCACCAGACCUUUAGCAAGGCCAGACCAACUUCUGGCCUGAACCGGUGUCUCCUCCGUCUCAUCCAUGGGUGUCUCCUCCGUUCUGAAUUGUUGGAUCUCUGACAGAUAUUGGUCAUUGGUCUGUUUAAGUAGUUGCAUUUGCUCAUUUUUCUCCGAGAUUGUUCUGUAACAUGUUUCAACUUGACUCUGAAGGUCAUCAAGAUGCUCAGUGACUUUGGUGUGUUCCCUCUCAGCGAUCAGGCUCUGGUUCUUCAUAGUUCGGUUUUCCUCAACCAGCGCGUUAACAUUUGCCUCCAGAUUAGAAAUCUUUGCCUGAUUUCGAUCUUUCUCAGAUGUCACGCAGGCCAGUUUAUCACCAAGAACCUUAUUGUCAUUGAUCAAAGCGUCCUCUCUUUUCUCGGAUUGCAGAGCAAAAGCCGAAUGAUAUUUGAUCGUUCUGUCUAGUUUCUCAUUCAAGUCUUUAAGUUGGGUCAAAUUCUCGUCAUUUCUUUGGUGAGCUUCCUCUUCACUCUGCUUAUGGGCAGCGCUAAUUCUAGAGAGCUCUUCAAAGUCUGUUUCAAUUUUAGCGUUCUGUCGAUGAAGAUCAUCAUUCAUAUUCGAUUUAUCUGCAAGUUUCCUCUCUGCUUCUUUUAGAUGUUCUUUUGAAACGUCUUCAUUCUCUCUGAGUGAAGAUAUUUCCGAAUGCAGAUAAUCCAUCUUCCUCUGGCUCAUAACGAUCAAUUUACUUUGUUCCUCCGACUUGAUUCUAAGUUGUAAUAUCGUUUUCUUUGCUUCAUUGAGUUUCCUUUGGGUGUAACGGGCUUCGGUUUGAGAUAUCCGCUUUUCUUUUGGGACAACAAACGUCUCAGUUACCUCCCGUGGAAGCGUCCUUCCACCGCCCCGUGAUUCUGCCAUGUCGCUUGGAAGUCUCCACACACGUCCGCUCUCUUGCUUCUCCGAACGCGUAUCACUCAAGAUGCAUUCUGGAGCAUUAAGAGCUCUCUGACGUAGGCCAUGACGCGUUCCCUUUCAUCU
ensembl:lncRNA